rnacentral:rRNA from 1 species
UACGGAGGGGGCUAGCGUUGUUCGGAAUUACUGGGCGUAAAGCGCGCGUAGGCGGCUUUGUAAGUUAGAGGUGAAAGCCCGGAGCUCAACUCCGGAAUUGCCUUUAAGACUGCAUCGCUAGAAUCAUGGAGAGGUGAGUGGAAUUCCGAGUGUAGAGGUGAAAUUCGUAGAUAUUCGGAAGAACACCAGUGGCGAAGGCGGCUUACUGGUCCGGUACUGACGCUGAGGAGCGAAAGCAUGGGGAGCGAACGAG